AACGAACGCUGGCGGCAGGCCUAACACAUGCAAGUCGAGCGAGACCUUCGGGUCUAGCGGCGGACGGGUUAGUAACGCGUGGGAACGUGCCCUUCUCUGCGGAAUAGCCACUGGAAACGGUGAGUAAUACCGCAUACGCCCUUCGGGGGAAAGAUUUAUCGGAGAAGGAUCGGCCCGCGUUAGAUUAGAUUGUUGGUGGGUAACGGCCUACCAAGUCUACGAUCUAUAGCUGGUUUUAGAGGAUGAUCAGCAACACUGGGACUGAGACACGGCCCAGACUCCUACGGGAGGCAGCAGUGGGGAAUCUUAGACAAUGGGCGCAAGCCUGAUCUAGCCAUGCCGCGUGUGUGAUGAAGGUCUUAGGAUCGUAAAGCACUUUCGCCAGGGAUGAUAAUGACAGUACCUGGUAAAGAAACCCCGGCUAACUCCGUG
rnacentral:rRNA from 1 species